rnacentral:rRNA from 1 species
UACGUAGGGUGCGAGCGUUGUCCGGAAUUAUUGGGCGUAAAGAGCUCGUAGGCGGUUUGUUGCGUCGGCCGUGAAAACCCGCGGCUUAACUGCGGGCUUGCAGUUGAUACGGGCAGGCUAGAGUUCGGUAGGGGAGACUGGAAUUCCUGGUGUAGCGGUGAAAUGCGCAGAUAUCAGGAGGAACACCGGUGGCGAAGGCGGGUCUCUGGGCCGAUACUGACGCUGAGGAGCGAAAGCGUGGGGAGCGAACAGG